rnacentral:rRNA from 1 species
CCUACGGGAGGCAGCAGUGGGGAAUAUUGGUCAAUGGCCGAGAGGCUGAACCAGCCAAGUCGCGUGAGGGAAGAAUGUCCUAUGGAUUGUAAACCUCUUUUGUCAGGGAGCAAAGUCACCCACGUGUGGGUGUUGGAGAGUACCUGAAGAAAAAGCAUCGGCUAGCUCCGUGCCAGCAGCCGCGGUAAUACGGAGGAUGCGAGCGUUGUCCGGAUUUAUGGGGUUUAAAGGGUGCGUAGGCGGGUUAUCAAGUCAGCGGUAAAAUCGUGGAGCUCAACUCCAUCCAGCCGUUGAAACUGAUGAUAUGGAGUGGGCGAGAAGUAGGCGGAAUGCGUGGUGUAGCGGUGAAAUGCAUAGAUAUCACGCAGAACUCCGAUGGCGAAGGCAGCAUACCGGCGCCCGACUGACGCUGAAGCACGAAAGCGUGGGUAGCGAACAGGAUUAGAUACCCGGGUAGUC